rnacentral:rRNA from 1 species
GAUGAACGCUGGCGGCGUGCCUAAUACAUGCAAGUCGAGCGAACGGACGAGAAGCUUGCUUUUCUGAUGUUAGCGGCGGACGGGUGAGUAACACGUGGAUAACCUACCUAUAAGACUGGGAUAACUUCGGGAAACCGGAGCUAAUACCGGAUAAUAUUUUGAACCGCAUGGUUCAAUAGUGAAAGACGGUCUUGCUGUCACUUAUAGCUGGAUCCGCGCUGCAUUAGCUAGUUGGUAAGGUAACGGCUUACCAAGGCAACGAUGCAUAGCCGACCUGAGAGGGUGAUCGGCCACACUGGAACUGAGACACGGUCCAGACUCCUACGGGGGGCAGCAGUAGGGAAUCUUCCGCAAUGGGCGAAAGCCUGACGGAGCAACGCCGCGUGAGUGAUGAAGGUCUUCGGAUCGUAAAACUCUGUUAUUAGGGAAGAACAUAUGUGUAAGUAACUGUGCACAUCUUGACGGUACCUAAUCAGAAAGCCACGGCUAACUACGUG